AGCAGCCGCGGUAAUUCCAGCUCCAAUAGCGUAUAUUAAAGUUGUUGCAGUUAAAAAGCUCGUAGUUGAAUUUCGGGAUCAAAUUGUCGGUCGUGCCUCGGUACGAACUGGUAUUAUUGGUUCCUCCCUUCUGAAGAACCGCGAUGUCAUUAAUUUGGUGUCGCGGGGAAUCAGGACUGUUACUUUGAAAAAAUUAGAGUGUUUAAAGCAGGCUUACGCUUGAAUACAUUAGCAUGGAAUAAUGAAAUAGGACGUUUGAUUCUAUUUUGUUGGUUUCUAGGAUCGACGUAAUGAUUAAUAGGGAUAGUUGGGGGCAUUAGUAUUCAAUUGUCAGAGGUGAAAUUCUUGGAUUUAUUGAAGACUAACUACUGCGAAAGCAUUUGCCAAGGAUGUUUUCAUUAAUCAAGAACGAAAGUUAGGGGAUCGAAGACGAUCAGAUACCGUCGUAGUCUUAACCAUAAACUAUGCCGACUAGGGAUCGGAUGAUGUUAAUUUUUUAAUGACUCA
rnacentral:rRNA from 1 species